rnacentral:rRNA from 1 species
CAGUAGCCGCGGGAAAACGAAGGGGGCUAGCGUUGUCCGGAAUUAUUGGGCGUAAAGGGCGCGUAGGCGGACUGAUAAGUCAGGGGUGAAAUCCCAAGGCUCAACCUUGGAACUGCCUAUGAUACUGUUUGUCUUGAGUUCGAGAGAGGUAAGUGGAACUGCGAGUGUAGAGGUGAAAUUCGUAGAUAUUCGCAAGAACACCAGUGGCGAAGGCGGCUUACUGGCUCGAAACUGACGCUGAGGCGCGAAAGCGUGGGGAGCAAACAGGAUUAGAUACCCGUGUAGUCCCUGUCUCUUAUAC